rnacentral:rRNA from 1 species
AAUUUUGGACAAGGGGGGAAACCCUGACCCAGCCAUCGCGCGUGCAUGAUGAAGGCCAUCGUGUUGUUAAGUAUUUUUGGCAGAGUAGAAAAGGUAUCACCUAAUACGGGAUACCGCUGACGGUAGCCGCAGAAUAAGCACCGGCCAACUACGGGCCAGCCACCGCGGUAAUACGUAGGGUGCAAGCGUUAAUCGGAAUUACUGGGCGUAAAGCGUGUGUAGGCGGUUCGGAAAGAAAGAUGUGAAAUCCCAGGGCUCAACCUUGGAACUGCAUUUUUAACUGCCGAGCUAGAGUAUGUCAGAGGGGGGUAGAAUUCCACGUGUAGCAGUGAAAUGCGUAGAUAUGUGGAGGAAUACCGAUGGCGAAGGCAGCCCCCUGGGAUAAUACUGACGCUCAGACACGAAAGCGUGGGGAGCAAACAGG